GGGGAAUUUUCCCCAAUGGGCGAAAGCCUGACGGAGCAAUACCGCGUGAGGGAGGAAGGCUUUUGGGUUGUAAACCUCUUUUUUUAGGGAAGAAGCUCUGACGGUACCUAAGGAAUCAGCAUCGGCUAACUCCGUGCCAGCAGCCGCGGUAAUACGGAGGAUGCAAGCGUUAUCCGGAAUUAUUGGGCGUAAAGCGUCCGCAGGUGGCUCCUCAAGUCUGCUGUCAAAGACCAGAGCUCAACUUUGGGCCGGCGGUGGAAACUGGGAGGCUAGAGUACGGUAGGGGUAGAGGGAAUUCCCAGUGUAGCGGUGAAAUGCGUAGAGAUUGGGAAGAACACCAGUGGCGAAGGCGCUCUACUGGGCCUGUACUGACACUCAGGGACGAAAGCUAGGGGAGCGAAAGGGAUUAGAUACCCCUGUAGUC
rnacentral:rRNA from 1 species